CACGUAGGGCGCAAGCGUUGUCCGGAAUUAUUGGGCGUAAAGAGCUCGUAGGCGGUCUGUUACGAUCUGCGUGUCGAAAACCCAGGGCUUAACCCUGGGCUUGCAGUGGAUACGGGCAGACUAGAGGCAGGUAGGGGAGAAUGGAAUUCCCGGUGUAGCGGUGAAAUGCGUAGAGAUCGGAAAGAACACCAACGGCGAAAGCACUCUGCUGGGCCGACACUGACACUGAGAGACGAAAGCUAGGGGAGCGAAUGGG
rnacentral:rRNA from 1 species